GUUAUGUGGAAAAGCCUCGUGAUCCUCACAGAAAAUUUUAUUCUUAUUAGUUAUUAUUAGUAUUAAUCAACUUCAGCUUAGUGUGUUCUGAAUCAAUAUUUCACUCUUGGUGCAAACGUUUGAUUGAUACUGUAGGUAUAGAGUGUGUCUAACUAAAAAUCCAUCUUGGUCUUCUGUGUAAGAACAUUUGAAGAACUAGCUUGAUUAGGAGAAUGACAAAAAAAAGAAAUCGUACCACAACAAGUGUCACAUCAAACCAGCCUAGGUCACUCAGGCCGCGAAAGAGAACAUGCUAUGGUGAUGCGUUAGGAAAGAGUACCCCCUCUGGAGAAGCAAUGGAAGCAAAGCCCUUAAAGCUACAAAAGAAGGACACUGUAGGAACAGUGCUGACAACUGCCUCACCUGAAAAUCCACACACCCCUCCCCUGGACUGUACCAGUGGUCCACUUCAGCAGACUCUCUCAGCGGGUGAUACCACUGUAUCGAAGCAAGAGGGCGGGGAGGGUGCUCAUAGGUUGAUGGAGUCCUCCGUUAAAGGUGACAAGGUUGUGUUAGAAAAGGUAUCGACGCUGAGGUUCCUCAGUCCCGCCCUGGACCCACCACCAACUGUAGCCAACCCUCACCCCUACACCCCGCCCUCCCUAACGUCUCAGGGGGUCAAAGCCGGGCAUCCCCGGCCCUCCCUGCCGACCUCCGAAGGGGUCAAAUUUGGGGAAUGGGAUGGUCAAACGACCAGUGCAGAAGAUCACUGUGGAGAGAAGAACACGGAGCCUAAAAUGGAGGAGAGACACUGCGAACAGCCGGAGGCCGCGGAUGAGAGAGACGGGAGACAGAAUCCACCAGUGAAAGACAGAUCCAGGGAACCACAGACGAAGAGGAGGAAGAGGAUGGGGAUGUGUGGGCUAGGAGAGAGGGAGAGGAGAUGUGGAGUGGAGGAGGAGUGGCUGCAGGAAAGAAAGACUUUGAAAGAAAAUGGGAUGGUAAUGAGGAGAGCAGAAGAGGAGGAGAUGGAGGAGGACGAGGGGCAAAGUGGCGACGGCAGUGGGGCCGGCCUUGUGGCCGUGGAGGGAACUGCAUCGAGAGCCGCGUCAUCCUCUGACCUCGCCCUCCUUUCAUCCCUCCCUCCCUCCGACCCCACAGGGGUUAACACUGAGCAGAAGGAGGGUGAGGAGGAGAAGGAGGAAGAGGAGCCCCGGCGGUCUGGCGACGAGGCCGGUCGUUUAAGCCCCGGCCGUGUGUCUGUUUCUGGGCCAGACCCGGUCGCGGAGGUCCUGGAGGUGGGACCACAGCAGCCUGUGAUGCUGGGUGACGAGGAGCUCGGCAUGAUGGGGGUUGUGGAGGACAACCAGGAGGGAGACAGGAGGGGAUAUAGUGCUACUGAUCCUCCGUCCUUCUCCAGCGGCCCUCCACCCACCCCUCUGGAGGAAGAGUCCGCGGUAGAAGUCUGGAACCUACCUAACCGGAGAGAGACGGGGUCAGAGGUCGGGGUUCAUUCCCUGGCUCGGUCAGAGGUCGGGGUUCAUUCCCCGGCUCCCAUUCUGCCUGAGGGCCGUGUCCAUAGAGCUGACAGCACCCAGGCAGAGUCAGAAC
ensembl:lncRNA